GAUGAACGCUGGCGGCGUGCCUAAUACAUGCAAGUCGAGCGAACGGACGAGAAGCUUGCUUUUCUGAUGUUAGCGGCGGACGGGUGAGUAACACGUGGAUAACCUACCUAUAAGACUGGGAUAACUUCGGGAAACCGGAGCUAAUACCGGAUAAUAUUUUGAACCGCAUGGUUCAAAAGUGAAAGACGGUCUUGCUGUCACUUAUAGAUGGAUCCGCGCUGCAUUAGCUAGUUGGUAAGGUAACGGCUUACCAAGGCAACGAUGCAUAGCCGACCUGAGAGGGUGAUCGGCCACACUGGAACUGAGACACGGUCCAGACUCCUACGGGAGGCAGCAGUAGGGAAUCUUCCGCAAUGGGCGAAAGCCUGACGGAGCCACGCCGCGUGAGUGAUGAAGGUCUUCGGAUCGUAAAACUCUGUUAUUAGGGAAGAACAUAUGUGUAAGUAACUGUGCACAUCUUGACGGUACCUAAUCAGAAAGCCACGGCUAACUACGUG
rnacentral:rRNA from 1 species